UACGGGGGGGGCAAGCGUUGUUCGGAAUUACUGGGCGUAAAGGGCUCGUAGGCGGCCAACUAAGUCAUACGUGAAAUCCCUCGGCUUAACCGGGGAACUGCGUCUGAUACUGGAUGGCUUGAGUUCGGGAGAGGGAUGCGGAAUUCCAGGUGUAGCGGUGAAAUGCGUAGAUAUCAGGAGGAACACCGGUGGUGUAGACGGCUUUCUGGACCGUAACUGACGCUGAGACACGAAAGCGUGGGUAGCAAACAGG
rnacentral:rRNA from 1 species